rnacentral:rRNA from 1 species
CCUACGGGAGGCAGCAGUGGGGAAUAUUGCACAAUGGGGGAAACCCUGAUGCAGCGACGCCGCGUGAGUGAAGAAGUAUUUCGGUAUGUAAAGCACUAUCAGCAGGGAAGAAAUAGCGACCUUUGGGUCGCCAGACGGUACCUGAUUAAGAAGCCCCGGCUAACUGCGUGCCAGCAGCCGCGGUAAUACGUAGGGGGCAAGCGUUAUCCGGAUUUACUGGGUGUAAAGGGAGCGUAGACGGCAGCGCAAGUCUGAAGUGAAAUGCCGGGGCUUAACCCCGGAACUGCUUUGGAAACUGUGCAGCUAGAGUGCAGGAGAGGUAAGUGGAAUUCCUGGUGUAGCGGUGAAAUACGUAGAUAUUAGGAGGAACACCAGUGGCGAAGGCGGCUUACUGGACUGUAACUGACGUUGAGGCUCGAAAGCGUGGGGAGCAAACAGGAGUAGAUACCCCUGUAGUC